GGGGGUCUUCCGGAAGGAUCAUUACCGAGUUUACAACUCCCAAACCCAAUGUGAACGUUACCAAACUGUUGCCUCGGCGGGGUCACGCCCCGGGUGCGUCGCAGCCCCGGAACCAGGCGCCCGCCGGAGGAACCAACCAAACUCUUUCUGUAGUCCCCUCGCGGACGUAUUUCUUACAGCUCUGAGCAAAAAUUCAAAAUGAAUCAAAACUUUCAACAACGGAUCUCUUGGUUCUGGCAUCGAUGAAGAACGCAGCGAAAUGCGAUAAGUAAUGUGAAUUGCAGAAUUCAGUGAAUCAUCGAAUCUUUGAACGCACAUUGCGCCCGCCAGUAUUCUGGCGGGCAUGCCUGUCCGAGCGUCAUUUCAACCCUCGAACCCCUCCGGGGGAUCGGCGUUGGGGAUCGGGACCCCUCACACGGGUGCCGGCCCCUAAAUACAGUGGCGGUCUCGCCGCAGCCUCUCCUGCGCAGUAGUUUGCACAACUCGCACCGGGAGCGCGGCGCGUCCACGUCCGUAAAACACCCAACUUUCUGAAAUGUUGACCUCGGAUCAGGUAGGAAUACCCGCUGAACUUAAGCAUAUCAAUAAGGCGGAAGAAAAA
rnacentral:rRNA from 1 species